AUGAACACAAAAUGUAACACACGACACUUCUCUCCCCCAGCUACCAAUUUGUCUUGCUCUUUAUUAGAAGGUACUGUGAUGGGAAAUCCUCUAAGAUGUUGCCGAGGUCUGGGGGAGUUAUGUUGCAGGAGGCUAAAAGGUCUGGCUGCCAAGAAGGGGACGAGAAAAAUAAGUGCAAUUUUAUGGCUUGGCUCUGCUGAGAUUUUAAAGUGGGAGGACUUUCUGAAACUCCUGUGCAUUUCAGCAGGACACAUCUAUGGACCAGCGCCUUUACAAACACCAUCUGCUGCUGCUGCUAAGUCGCUUCAGUCAUGUCCGACUCUCUGCGACCCCACAGACGGCAGCCCACCAGGCUCCCCUGUCCCUGGGAUUCUCCAGGCAAGAACACUGGAGUGGGUUGCCAUUUCCUUCUCCAAUGCAUGAAAGUGAAAAGUGAAAGUGAAGUCGCUCAGUCAUGUCCGACUCUUCACAACCCCAUGGACUGUAGCCCACCAGGCUCCUCCGUCCAUGGGAUUUUCCAGGCAAGAGUACUGGAGUGGAGUGCCAUCGCCUUCUCCAACAUACAUCAUCUAGUUUAACCAAUAUGGCUAUCCUAUGAGAAAGUUGCUAAUAAUUUCAUAUAUCAGAAAAAUAACUCACAGUACUUUCUGUGGUCCCAGUUCUGUUCGGAGAUGACCAACAAACCCUUCGACUCAAGUCUGAGUUAAUCGAAGGGAAGGACUAUCCUUGGUCCACAAGAAAAGAUUCAUUCCCAUCUCUUCAUUUGUUAAAUAUUGAAUUUAUUGUCUGGACAGCCUAUGAUAAAACCUUGGCUAAUCGUCUCAGAGUUGAUUAAUUUUUCGUGUACUUUGGGUGUUAUUCACUUGGCACUUAAUAUACAGAGAUAUGCUUUUGCCAGAAACAUAUGUGGAAGAUUCAGGCAACACCUGAUUCCUUUCUCGGCUGUGGUUUGGCAGAUCCUGACGUGUGAAAUUGUUGUAUUUCAAGGAA
rnacentral:lncRNA from 1 species